rfam:Asian citrus Psyllid, Diaphorina citri - Florida Strain, whole genome shotgun sequence.
GCCUCGGUGGUGUAGUGGUCGAGACGCUCGCCUGGUAAACAGGAGGGCGUGGGUUCGAUCCCAUCCGAAGCA